CCAUGGGGCAGCUUACCAUGCAGUCGAGCGGAACGAUGAUAGCUUGCUAUCAGGCGUCGAGCGGCGGACGGGUGAGUAAUACUUAGGAAUCUACCUAGUAGUGGGGGAUAGCACGGGGAAACUCGUAUUAAUACCGCAUACGACCUACGGGAGAAAGGGGGCAGUUUACUGCUCUCGCUAUUAGAUGAGCCUAAGUCGGAUUAGCUAGAUGGUGGGGUAAAGGCCUACCAUGGCGACGAUCUGUAGCUGGUCUGAGAGGAUGAUCAGCCACACCGGGACUGAGACACGGCCCGGACUCCUACGGGAGGCAGCAGUGGGGAAUAUUGGACAAUGGGGGCAACCCUGAUCCAGCCAUGCCGCGUGUGUGAAGAAGGCCUUUUGGUUGUAAAGCACUUUAAGCAGUGAAGAAGACCUAACGGUUAAUACCCGUUAGCGAUGACAUUAGCUGCAGAAUAAGCACCGGCUAACUCUGUGCCAGCAGCCGCGGUAAUACAGAGGGUGCAAGCGUUAAUCGGAAUUACUGGGCGUAAAGCGAGCGUAGGUGGCUUGAUAAGUCAGAUGUGAAAUCCCCGGGCUUAACCUGGGAACUGCAUCUGAAACUGUUAGGCUAGAGUAGGUGAGAGGGAAGUAGAAUUUCAGGUGUAGCGGUGAAAUGCGUAGAGAUCUGAAGGAAUACCGAUGGCGAAGGCAGCUUCCUGGCAUCAUACUGACACUGAGGCUCGAAAGCGUGGGUAGCAAACAGGAUUAGAUACCCUGGUAGUCCACGCCGUAAACGAUGUCUACUAGUCGUUGGGUCCCUUGAGGACUUAGUGACGCAGCUAACGCAAUAAGUAGACCGCCUGGGGAGUACGGCCGCAAGGUUAAAACUCAAAUGAAUUGACGGGGGCCCGCACAAGCGGUGGAGCAUGUGGUUUAAUUCGAUGCAACGCGAAGAACCUUACCUGGUCUUGACAUACACAGAAUCUUGUAGAGAUACGAGAGUGCCUUCGGGAAUUGUGAUACAGUGCUGCAUGGCUGUCGUCAGCUCGUGUCGUGGAGAUGUUGGGUA
rnacentral:rRNA from 1 species